CAGUGGUCGAAAUUUGGUUGGAGUCGGCGGUAUCGAUCCAAUAUUACACUUCUGUCGGUUCUCGGCGCUAUGACCUCAGAAUCAACUUCAUUAACAUAACCUAUUUCUGACAGAAAACAGCUGAUCGAUCCGGUGUUAACCAGAGAUAUUGCAAAACCUCAUUGUUAAAACACCUCCGCAUUUCUGAGUCAUGCUCUUCGAGAAAGUCGAAUACCGGCGUGGACCGUGGUCCGGCACAGAUCAUUAAUUGGAAGGAAGAGCAUUGAGAACAUUUCAAGGAGAAACUCCAUCGUAACUGGAGAGGCGAUAAUGAUAUACUUUAAAAGAACUUUUUUGUAAGAUGUGUAAAAGGACUCCUAUACAUAGAAAACGAAAGCUUGCAGACAGGUCAAACAAAUAAAACAAUUAGGAAUCAACAAAUAAUAAAAUUGAAUACACAGAUAUACAUAUAUUUUCACACAUUGAUCUCAUUGUGACAGCAUACAAUUCCCAGACGCCAAAAUGACGACUGGGCCUACAGAAUUCGAGAAGAAACGCAUACGCCACGCUUCAGGCGAGUCUACGACAUCAAACGAUAGUAUCAGUAACUAUAUCCCUACCCCACCGGAUGGAGGGUGGGGAUGGGUGAUCGUUGUAGCAUCCAUGUUAAAUAACUGUAUAGUGGAUGGGAUUGCCUUUACAUUUGGCGUAUUCUACAUGGAGUUCGUCGUAUACUUUGGUGCCAGCAAAGGGAAGACUGCUAUGGCCGGGUCUCUACUUUGUGGAAUGUACCUCUGCGCAGGUCCAAUAGUGAGUGCCCUGGCCAAUAGAUUUGGAUGCAGACCAGUGACUGUAUUUGGGGGUUUGCUGGCAUCUCUAGGGUUCUUUCUAUGUUCCUUCUGCGACGACAUUAACCUGUUCAUCUUCACCUAUGGAGUCCUUGGAGGUGUUGGAUUCGGGUUCAUUUAUCUUCCAUCUUGCGUUGCUGUUAGUUACUACUUUGAGAAAAAGAGGGCACUGGCAACUGGACUUGCCGUGUGCGGAUCUGGAAUUGGGACCUUUCUAUUUGCCCCGUUCGGACGAUACCUUUUGGACACCCUUGACUGGAAAAACGCAAUGAUGAUCAUUUCCGGAAUCACCCUCAACGCAUGCGUAUUAGGGAUGCUAUUUAGACCCCUUGAACCAGCGAAGAAAAUUCAUCGACCACGGGAGAAAAACAUUAUUGACAGGCUGAUUGAAAACUCGAAGAUCAUCAAGAGAAAUCGAAGCGAAUCGGAAUGCAGUGCCAACAUAAACUCUAUCAAGUAUCAAACAGCUAUCAUGGAGAAGGUUCGAGAAGCAAAGCUUACGAGAGAAAAAAUAAUACGAGACGAGGAAUCUGAAUCUGAAAUGAGCUCCAUGCCAAGUCUUUACUUUCAUUCCUUACGUGGCGUAAAUAGCUUAGGCAAAGAUGGAACUCCUAUUAACAGUCGACAGAAUAGCAUCCAAUACAGUAGACAGAACAGUAAAGGCGAUUCAAAAUUGGGCACUUCUAAAAGUCCGCCAAUUAUGACUCCUAGUAUAACGAUUAACAGCGCGCCACCAAGAAUCACCGUGGGGGAUUCUGACAUGGAAAUGUCACCAUCAACGGACAGUUAUAUCCCAUCGGGAGUGGCUGUUGAUGGAAAACAAGGAAACGAUUCGGUGAAGGAUGGGCUUGACAAAAUUCCGGAUGACGUUCUGGAUGAUACAACUUAUAUCGAGGGACCAGUUGAAAUACCUACAAAAGAAAAUGACACAAACGGAACAGUACCAAAGAAUGGUCAUGUUCCAAACGGAAACGGUGUAACAAGUGAAACUGCCCCAAUGUUGAUCAACGGGUCAGCUAAGAAAAAUGGACAUCUAAAUCAUCUCAAAACUGAACACACCUAUUGUGCAAGUGCAGGCCAACUUUUGGUAAAACCAAACAAACCCAGAAAACCUAAAACACGUGUCGAGCAAAUACAAAAACAAGACUAUGCCAAGCCUUUGUAUAGAAAGGACAUCUUCCUCAGUGGAAGUGUGUUAAAUAUUCCCCAGUUCCGAUCUCAACCCAAUGUUAAAAGCUACGUCACCAGUAUCACUACGAUUCCUGAUUCCGUUGCCCCCGAGAAGGAAUCUAAAUGUUGGUCAUGCGUGCCCAAAUCCGCAAAGGACACCCUGCAGAUGAUGCUUGAUAUAAGCAUCCUCAAGGAUCCUAAGUUCUUGAUCAUCUGUCUAGGAAAUGUCCUUCUCUUCAUCGGGUUCUACAUUCCCUUCGUCUAUAUCAGUGACUUCGCUAUUGAGAAUAAUGUCUCCACGACAGAAGCUGCUUGGCUUAUUUCCGUCAUAGGAAUCGCUAAUACUCUUGGCAGAGUAUUUAUGGGCUGGGUUGCUGACUUCCCGAAGGUAGAUCCACUACUUCUGCACAACAUAGCGCUGUUGAUAAGCGGUAUAGCCACGAUGUUAGCGCCGUUCUGUACGACUUAUGUACCACUUAUGAUAUUUGCUGGUGUAUUUGGGUUAUGUGUGGCGACGUUUAUCUCACUGACUUCAAUCGUCCUGUGCAACAUAUUAGGCUUGGAGAAGUUGACUAAUGCAUUUGGCAUGUUGACCCUAUUCAGAGGAAUCUCAUCAAUUGUGGGCCCUCCAAUAGCUGGUUCAAUCUAUGAUUCAACUGGGGGCUACACAGUAUCGUUCCUGCUAGGUGGAGGUAUGUUGCUCCUGUCUGGGAUAAUGCACUUGACCUUACACCUCCCUUGUCUCAAACCGCCAGCACCUCCUAAAAUGGAUGAGGUAGUACCAAGCCCAGAAUCUGAUGAUGAAGAUGUUGAAAUGUUACCAACUAAAGACAACAUUGUGUAGAUAUCUCAGGAAGGGACGAGUUAGAGUACCAGUCCUGGUUUGUUAAACACUAUAAUGCCACUGUCAGUGGGAAUAAGGGCAUCGUGGAGCAAAGACAUUGAGCAACUUUGUUAAGUAAAAGGCUGGUAGAAGUCAAUGGGAAAUCGAAAUGUUGAUAAAUGCAGAAAUAAGCAGGUUGACGAGCAUAUACACGGAAUAGAGACCUACAAAACUCAAGUGAUAGCCCGUGGGAACUCAUUUGUGAAUAAGGAGGACAAUAUCAAAUGAGAAUAUCAAUCAGAAAUAAGACUGAUAGAUAAAAUACAAUGGACCAUGAACUAAACCUAGCCUGAUAUUCAUGAAAUACAGGAAGGUUAUGGUUUAUAGCCUUGAAGCAUUGUGGACGAGUUAAAGAAGGGUGGACAAUGCAGGAGGGUGUAAGGGAAUGUUAAUACUUCAACACUUCCAAUUCACCCUGAAAUAUGUGCUGUCGAUUUAUUUUA
rnacentral:misc_RNA from 1 species